GUCGUACCUGAUAGAUCGGGAUACUCUACAUUAAAAAAAACAAACCGGGAUGACUUCUCUUGCCAAUGGCGGGCCAUGUUAUUACCCUGUAUAGGGGAGCUUCAAAAAAGCCGGUGGAUUACAAAGACGGAGAGCGCCCAAAUCAUGUGAAACAGGAGUUUUCACCAAAUCAUCGGUACGACCCUCU
rnacentral:sRNA from 1 species